UACAGAGGGGGCAAGCGUUGUUCGGAAUUACUGGGCGUAAAGGGCGCGUAGGCGCCUUCUAAGUCAGACGUGAAAUCCCUCGGCUCAACCGGGGAACUGCGUCUGAGACUGGAAGGCUUGAAUCCGGGAGAGGGAUGUGGAAUUCCAGGUGUGAGCGGUGAAAUGCGUAGAUAUCUGGAGGAACACCGGUGGCGAAGGCGGCCAUCUGGACCGCAACUG
rnacentral:rRNA from 1 species